rnacentral:pre_miRNA from 1 species
UUGUAUAUAAUUUGUAUGGAGUUGGAACGUUUGUCUACGUUUGCCGCUGGGGGUGCUGUUCUAACUGGUGCAUACAAAUUUGAGUUA